AAAAUGCCCUGGGCCAAAACUCUCUGUGGGAAACAAGCUUCUAGAAUCACUAGGUUCUGACCAUUAUGGAAUAUUCUUCUACAACUGAGAAAGUGAAGCUGCUGAAUGCAGUCUUUCCCUUAUUGGCACAACAUCAAUCUAAAGUCGGAUUUGACUCUUAUUGUCAUAUUUAUAAAACAAGACCCUCCUGCCCUGGGCAUAGUUGAUUGGACUAGGUCAAGACCAAGUUAUUGACUUAUUCCUCAAUAUGGUUGGAAAUGGAAUAGGAGUUAUGACCCGCCAACUUUGAUUUACCGUGUGGAAGCCAAUUGAAGAAGAAAGAUGAAGCAGAUAUGCUGAGAGAAGCAUCGACAGAGGACAGAGUUCUCAGUGAGUUACUGGUCUCAACUGCCUUCAGGUGUUCAAAUUCAAGCCUUGUUAGGCAUUGUAGCCACAUUCUAACCCCCAAUUCUUAUCAGAAAAGAGUAUUUUAAAAAACUAAGUCUAAAUAAAUAAAUAAAUAAAUAAAUAAAUAAAUAAAUA
rnacentral:lncRNA from 1 species